GCCCCCGUAGCUCAACGGAUAGAGCAACGGCCUUCUAAUCCGCAGGUUGGCGGUUCGAGUCCGCCCGGGGGCA
rnacentral:tRNA from 1 species